AUCGCUUCUCGGCCUUUUGGCCAAGAUCAAGUGUAGUAUCUGUUCUUAUCAGUUUAAUAUCUGAUACGUCUCCUAUUUGGGGACAAUAUAUUAAAUUGAUUUUUGGAACAGGUAGACGGAUUAGGAGCUUGCUCCGUCCACUCCACGCACCGACCUGGUAUUGCAGAACUUCCAGGAACGGUGCACUCCCU